UACCAGCACCCCGAGUGGUCGGGACGUUUAUUGGGCCUAAAGCAUCCGUAGCCGGUUCUACAAGUCUUCCGUUAAAUCCACCUGCUCAACAGAUGGGCUGCGGAAGAUACUAUGGAGCUAGGAGGCGGGAGAGGCAAGCGGUACUCGAUGGGUAGGGGUAAAAUCCGUUGAUCAUUGAAGACCACCAGUGGCGAAGGCGGCUUGCCAGAACGCGCUCGACGGUGAGGGAUGAAAGCUGGGGGAGCAAACCGGG
rnacentral:rRNA from 1 species